rnacentral:rRNA from 1 species
GAGUUUGAUCCUGGCUCAGGACGAACGCUGGCGGCGUGCUUAGCACAUGCAAGUCGAGCGGCAGGCCAUAUACUUGUAUAGGGUCUGCAGCGGCGAACGGGUGAGUAACGCGUGGACAAUCUGCCCUCAAGCCUGGGAUAACACUUUGAAAGAGGUGCUAAUACCGGAUAGGUGAUUCUGCCGCAUGGCAGGAUUGGGCAAGGGUUUCGGCCCGAUUGAGGAUGAGUCCGCGUUUCAUUAGCUAGUUGGUGGGGUAGAGGCCUACCAAGGCGACGAUGGAUAGCCGGCCUGAGAGGGUGACCGGCCACACUGGGACUGAGACACGGCCCAGACUCCUACGGGAGGCAGCAGUGGGGAAUCUUCCGCAAUGGACGAAAGUCUGACGGAGCAACGCCGCGUGAGUGAAGAAGGUUUUCGGAUUGUAAAACUCUGUCAGGCGGGAAGAACGGGCUAUAGGGAUAUAGCCGUGACGGUACCGCCGAAGGAAGCCCCGGCUAACUACGUGCCAGCAGCCGCGGUAAUACGUAGGGGGCAAGCGUUGUCCGGAAUUAUUGGGCGUAAAGAGCACGUAGGCGGGGAUCCAAGUCAGGUGUGAAAACCCGGGGCUCAACUCCGGGAGUGCAGCUGAAACUGGAUUUCUUGAGGGCAGAAGAGGAGAGUGGAAUUCCUAGUGUAGCGGUGAAAUGCGUAGAUAUUAGGAGGAACACCAGUGGCGAAGGCGACUCUCUGGUCUGCAACUGACGCUGAGGUGCGAAAGCUAGGGGAGCGAACGGGAUUAGAUACCCCGGUAGUCCUAGCCGUAAACGAUGGGCACUAGGUGUAGGAGGUAUCGACCCCUCCUGUGCCGCAGCUAACGCAUUAAGUGCCCCGCCUGGGGAGUACGGCCGCAAGGUUGAAACUCAAGGAAUUGACGGGGGCCCGCACAAGCAGUGGAGCAUGUGGUUUAAUUCGACGCAACGCGAAGAACCUUUACCUGGGUUGGACAUCUCCUGGAGUUCUUAUGAAAGUAGGACGCUCUUCGGAGGACAGGAAGACAGUGGUGCAUGAUGGUCGUCAGCUCGUUCCUGAAUGUUGAUUAGGUCCGCAACGAGCGCCACCCCUGAUCAUUGG